UACGUAGGUGGCAAGCGUUGUCCGGAAUUAUUGGGCGUAAAGCGCGCGCAGGCGGCCUUUUAAGUCUGAUGUGAAAGCCCACGGCUCAACCGUGGAAGGUCAUUGGAAACUGAAAGGCUUGAGUACAGAAGAGGAAAGCGGAAUUCCACGUGUAGCGGUGAAAUUCGUAGAUAUCGGGAGGAACACCAGUGGCGAAGGCGGAGACCUGGGCCGAUACUGACGCUGAGGUGCGAAAGCGUGGGGAGCAAACAGG
rnacentral:rRNA from 1 species